rnacentral:tRNA from 1 species
GCGCCUGUAGCUCAAAUUGGAUAGAGCGAGACACUCCUAACGUCUAGGCUGUUGGUUCGAUUCCAACCAGGCGCA